AUGGCUGAGCUCUUAACUCGGGCAGCUGGGAGCGGCAGAUCCUCUCGCUUACCCAUCAGUACCGCUCCUCCUUUCUGCUUCCAGGACCCUUUUAAAGGCUUCUGCCUCCUCCCCAGGCUCUGGCAGCGUGCUUGGAGCAGUCCCUGUCGUCGGGCAGGUUUGUUUCUGUGUGGAGUAGCGGCUUUUGCUCUCCUGGAGCUGCAGCUCCAGUGGCACCGACCCAGAGCUCCAUGUUGGGUUGGGUUCAGGUCUGAAAGCCCUGCAGUUUUACAGCUCAAUUAGCACAGUUCAUCAAUUACACAGCUCAAUUAAGGAAACCCUGUCCGUGGAAAGCAAAGCCAGUGGGAGGAGAUGCCUGAAGUAAGAAAAUAUGCGUUCCGUGGGGAAAUGAUGCAGGUGAUUCAUGAAAAUGUUACCUGAGAUGUGAAACGUGAAUGUGUGGGGAUGUAAAAACAAGGCUGGGUGUGUUUGAGUUUGUCCAAAGGGAGGCUGAGGUGACUUUUUUUAUUGCUUGUGAGUAUUUUGGAGACCUCACAUAAAGAAAUGAGUAUGCAGAGUUUCCCUAUUCGUGAUAAACUUUAUCAGCAGGACAGUGCAGCAGAUGUUGGGUGGGUGAUGAGCAAAUGAGCCUUUGGAGCAGGGCAGCUGUUCAUGAGCUCUGAGCAUUGCACAGGGCAAUGCCCACUGCAAACCCAAACAGCAGAACCAGGCCUGGGCAGGGUUCGGCUCCUUCAGGACCUGGCUCAGAAUCCCAGAGUUUUAUUCAGGGAAAAGCCCUUUGAAUGUCAGCAGGGGCUGUGACACGGUAACUGGAGAAUUAGCAAGACUUGGUACAGAAACAAGGGGAAUUUUACAUGGUUCUCGAGGUGUUUGUGUCCUGGCUGAUCCCAUCACAGGCAGGGGAAUGUUUCCUGCUUUUAAGAAUAUGAGUGGAUUAGGAGAACAUUCAUGUCCUGCUUGGCCAGUCUUGGAGUGCACAUAUUUAAAGGCCAUUAGUAAGUGGUGCCCUGUCCUGGAUCUGUCCCCUGCCAAGGCCACCCCAGCACAGAGCAGGAUUUGAAACUUUAUUUAUCCCAUCCCAGGCUUCAGCCUCAAACCCAGACAAUUAUUAGCCAA
rnacentral:lncRNA from 1 species